GAGGGAGGCAGGUCAGGGUUUUGCCCGCUGAAUGAUACACCCUAUGACGGAUUCCGGUGUUUUGAUGAUGGGGGGGGGGGGACUAACAACAAUUCUUUGGGCAAAACUGAAAGAACUGACCAGACACAAUGGCUUCAAAUGAUUCCUCUCAUCAACACGCAUUUGAGGAUGGAGCAACUAUUACCUACAAGCCAGGGCGGGAUCAGCCAGCGGCGGCGUCCCGCAUGUGCGAUUCAUUUGCAGUCUGGACGCGGAAGGGUGAACAUCUCCUGCUCUGACUGCAGCUGGGAGGGACUGCUGCGCGAGGACUGGGCCGGAUCAACCAGACUAAGGAGGCCAACGUUCUAUCGUUCCCCAUCAACAGAGGGCCUACAGCAGCACCUAGAUCUUUUGCACAGACCUGGGACCUGACAGUAAAUCUCAUCAUCAUGAGCCGUUUCUGUCUGCAUCUGCGGCCUCACAGGAAGUGAGGCGUUUCAACACUGUCGUCAAGAGCAGCUGGGCGGGAGGUCAAGACUGUGGGGGGGUUUCCACCACACUCACUCACACACAGACACAGAGACAGAUGCACGCAGACGCAUGCAUGCACCCAUGAACGCAUACACAUACACACACU
rnacentral:lncRNA from 1 species